CCAGCAUCUGGUGGUCAAAGCUUAGGGACACGCAGAGCAAGGGGGUUGCAUCCCUGAUCCUCUUGGAUAAUAGCCAUUGAUGGACUCAUAUCCCAGGAACUUAUCUAAUUCUUUUUUUAACCCAGUUAUACUUUUGGCCUUCACAAUAUCCUAGGGCAACUAGUUCCACAAAUUGACUGUGUGUUGUGUGAAGAACUACUUCCUUUUGUUUGUUGUUUUUGUUUUCUAAACCU